GAUAACCAAGAAUAAUACGAGGGUCUAAUGUUGGAUUUAUAAGUCUAACUUCACCACCACCAGGGGCCCAUGUAUCAUAAGCUCCACCGAUGAAGCACCAGUUUAGAGACCAAGCAAGAGCACCUACUCCAAGAACAAUAAGAUGAUAUCCAAGGAUAUUUGUCAUCUGAUUUUUAUCUCUCCA
rnacentral:antisense_RNA from 10 species